GCCUGGCUGGGUGAAUGCGACCAGGGCUGCCUGGCCCUUGCUGAGCUCCUUGGAUGGAAGAAGGAGCUGGAGGACCUUGUCCGGAGGGAGCACGCCAGCAUAGAUGCCCAGUCGGGGGCGGGGGUCCCCAACCCCAGCACUUCAGCUUCCCCCAAGAAGUCCCCGCCACCUGCCAAGGACGAGGCCAGGACAACAGAGAGGGAGAAACCCCAGUGACAGCUGCAUCUCCCAGGCGGGAUGCCGAGCUCCUCAGGGACAGCUGAGCCCCAACCGGGCCUGGCCCCCUCUUAACCAGCAGUUCUUGUCUGGGGAGCUCAGAACAUCCCCCAAUCUCUUACAGCUCCCUCCCCAAAACUGGGGUCCCAGCAACCCUGGCCCCCAACCCCAGCAAAUCUCUAACACCUCCUAGAGGCCAAGGCUUAAACAGGCAUCUCUACCAGCCCCACUGUCUCUAACCACUCCUGGGCUAAGGAGUAACCUCCCUCAUCUCUAACUGCCCCCACGGGGCCAGGGCUACCCCAGAACUUUUAACUCUUCCAGGACAGGGAGCUUCGGGCCCCCACUCUGUCUCCUGCCCCCGGGGGCCUGUGGCUAAGUAAACCAUACCUAACCUACCCCAGUGUGGGUGUGGGCCUCUGAAUAUAACCCACACCCAGCGUAGGGGGAGUCUGAGCCGGGAGGGCUCCCGAGUCUCUGCCUUCAGCUCCCAAAGUGGGUGGUGGGCCCCCUUCACGUGGGACCCACUUCCCAUGCUGGAUGGGCAGAAGACAUUGCUUAUUGGAGACAAAUU
rnacentral:lncRNA from 1 species